AGAGUUUGAUCAUGGCUCAGGACGAACGCUGGCGGCGUGCCUAAUACAUGCAAGUCGAGCGAGCUUGCCUAGAUGAUUUUAGUGCUUGCACUAAAUGAAACUAGAUACAAGCGAGCGGCGGACGGGUGAGUAACACGUGGGUAACCUGCCCAAGAGACUGGGAUAACACCUGGAAACAGAUGCUAAUACCGGAUAACAACACUAGACGCAUGUCUAGAGUUUGAAAGAUGGUUCUGCUAUCACUCUUGGAUGGACCUGCGGUGCAUUAGCUAGUUGGUAAGGUAACGGCUUACCAAGGCAAUGAUGCAUAGCCGAGUUGAGAGACUGAUCGGCCACAUUGGGACUGAGACACGGCCCAAACUCCUACGGGAGGCAGCAGUAGGGAAUCUUCCACAAUGGACGAAAGUCUGAUGGAGCAACGCCGCGUGAGUGAAGAAGGGUUUCGGCUCGUAAAGCUCUGUUGGUAGUGAAGAAAGAUAGAGGUAGUAACUGGCCUUUAUUUGACGGUAAUUACUUAGAAAGUCACGGCUAACUACGUGCCAGCAGCCGCGGUAAUACGUAGGUGGCAAGCGUUGUCCGGAUUUAUUGGGCGUAAAGCGAGUGCAGGCGGUUGAAUAAGUCUGAUGUGGAAGCCUUCGGCUCAACCGGAGAAUUGCAUCAGAAACUGUUGAACUUGAGUGCAGAAGAGGAGAGUGGAACUCCAUGUGUAGCGGUGGAAUGCGUAGAUAUAUGGAAGAACACCAGUGGCGAAGGCGGCUCUCUGGUCUGCAACUGACGCUGAGGCUCGAAAGCAUGGGUAGCGAACAGGAUUAGAUACCCUGGUAGUCCAUGCCGUAAACGAUGAGUGCUAAGUGUUGGGAGGUUUCCGCCUCUCAGUGCUACAGCUAACGCAUUAAGCACUCCGCCUGGGGAGUA
rnacentral:rRNA from 1 species